GGGGGGAGAAAGCAUUCUUAUCAUUCACCCUACUAUAGUGUGUUGUCUGAGUCUAUUUGUGCAUAUAGGAGUGUUGUAUCAGUGUAUUUAUCCUAUCAGGGUGCAUAUAGGAGUGUUGUAUCUGUGUAUUUAUCCUGUCAGUGUGCAUAUAGGAGUGUUGUAUCUGUGUAUUUAUCCUGUCAGUGUGCAUAUAGAAGUGUUGUAUCUUCGUAUUUAUCCUGUCAGUGUGCAUAUAGGAGUGUUGUAUCUGUGUAUUAUCCUGUCAGUGUGCAUAUAGGAGUGUUGUAUCUGUGUAUUUAUCCUGUCAGGGUGCAUAUAGGAGUGUUGUAUCUGUGUAUUUAUCCUGUCAGGGUGCAUAUAGGAGUGUUGUAUCUGUGUAUUUAUCCUGUCAGUGUGCAUAUAGGAGUGAGUGUUGUAUCUGUGUAUUUAUCCUGUCAGGGUGCAUAUAGGAGUGUUGUAUCUGUGUAUUUAUCCUGUCAGUGUGCAUAUAGGAGUGAGUGUUGUAUCUGUGUAUUUAUCCUGUCAGGGUGCAUAUAGGAGUGUUGUAUCUGUGUAUUUAUCCUGUCAGUGUGCAUAUAGGAGUGUUGUAUCUGUGUAUUUAUCCUGUCAGUGUGCAUAUAGGAGUGUUGUAUCUG